rnacentral:rRNA from 1 species
UACAGAGACUGCAAGCGUUAUUCGGAUUCACUGGGCGUAAAGGGUGCGCAGGCGGCCGUGUGUGUGAGGUGUGAAAGCCCGGGGCUUAACCCCGGAAUUGCACCUCAAACUACAUGGCUAGAGCAUUGGAGAGGGUAGCAGAAUUCAUGGUGUAGCAGUGAAAUGCGUAGAUAUCAUGAGGAAUACCAGAGGCGAAGGCGGCUACCUGGACAAUUGCUGACGCUCAGGCACGAAAGCGUGGGGAGCAAAAGGG